rnacentral:lncRNA from 1 species
AUGGGACCUGGUCACCACCGCACCCCAUGCAGUGGUAACAUUGCUGAGAGGAGUCCCAGAGUGAUGGCUUGCCAACGCCUGCCUGACUCAGUACCAGGCCCUGAUGCUGGAUGCUCCAUGAUCAAAUUCGCCCAAGAAACGACCCUCAAUCCGGCCACCUUACUCCCGGACUCCGACUCGUACGCAUGCCCCUCCAUGACUGUCUGGACACUGACAACUUCCACCACCAACCGCCCAGACCUGACUGAUGAGACCUUCUUCACCAAUGGAAACAGCUUCAUGGAAGACGGAGUCAGGACUGACCUCUAUGGUCCAGGACAUCAGUUCCACGUGUCAGGUGUGUGCACAGGUAAACUCCAAGGCGAGACCAAGGAACGAAGUCUCUUCAAGCCUUACAGAUUCUUCAGCGUGAGAUCCAGGCUACAAUACAACAGACUCCAGAAAAACCCUUUGUGAUGUUCCAGCCCCAUGGUUUCAAGCCAGGAGACCUGGUCCUGAUAUGCUUGGUUUGCUUGCACCAAGGACUUGACUAAAUACAUUCCCAAAUCAGUCUUGGCUACCCAAUCUGCCACUCUAUUUUGUGUCACCGUGUAUGUUGUUCCACAAGUCUUGUAUUAUAAUGGAAAAGGGGGCCGUGAACAUCUGGGAUUAAUCACUGAACACUAUAGGAGUAAACAGGCUGCCCCGUUUUAGUGCCCAUUCUGGUGGGAUUAGGAAUAGCUGGGUCAGUGGCUAUUAGAACUUCCUCCCUGAUCCUUUAGGAAACAAAUUUUAAAGCCCUAAGCCACCAAGUAGCCAGAGAUUUGGGUCACCUGAAAGACUUGAUCUUCAGAUUAAAAAAACCAGGUUGAUUCCCUAGCUGAGAUGGUCCUGCAAAAUCAAAGGGGACUUGACCUCCUGUUCAUAAAACAAGGAGGGUUAUGUGUAGCCCUAGAAAAAAACCCUGUUGCUUCUAUGCUAAUGGUUAACUACCCUCAUUUCUGCUGUAACAGGCCCCCUAGUUAUCUUAGUUCUGGUUUUGCUUGUGAGACCUUGCAUUAUAAAUGCUCUGACUAAAUAUGUUAGAGGGUUGAUGCAGUUAAACUGAUGGUGUUGAGACAAAAUUAUGAGAUUUUAAAAGAUGUUUAAAAAAAAAAUUCAAAGAGUAAAUACAGGAAUCAAAGAUUUGAUUAAGUUACAAGAACCAGUAGGGAAUGAAAGACCCUAGUUAGCAAGACAGACUCCAUAUUGCUGCUUGACCCACCUGCCUGCCUUUUAGAUGAACUCAGAAGGAGGAAGCUUAGAAACCU